CCCAUGUAUAAAGGCCCUAGAGCAGUGACCCCAUGUAUAAAGGCCCUAGAGCAGUGACCCCAUGUAUAAAGGCCCUAGAGCAGUGACCCCAUGUAUAAAGGCCCUAGAGCAGUGACCCCAUGUAUAAAGGCCCUAGAGCAGUGACCCCAUGUAUAAAGGCCCUAGAGCAGUGACCCCAUGGAUAAAGGCCCUAGAGCAGUGACCCCAUGUAUAAAGACCCUAGAGCAGUGACCCCAUGUAUAAAGACCCUAGAGCAGUGACCCCAGUGACCCCUGGUAUAAAGACCCUAGAGUAGUGACCCCAUGUAUAAAGACCCUAGAGUAAUGACCCCAUGUAUAAAGACCCUAGAGCAGUGAUUCCAUGUAUAAAGACCCUAGAGUAGUGACCCCAGGUAUAAAGGCCCUAGAGCAGUGACCCCAUGUAUAAAGGCCCUAGAGCAGUGACCCCAUGUAUAAAGACCCUAGAGCAGUGACCCCAGGUAUAAAGGCCCUAGAGCAGUGACCCCCAUGUAUAAAGGCCCUAGAGCAGUGACCCCAUGUAUAAAGGCCCUAGAGCAGUGACCCCAUGUAUAAAGGCCCUAGAGCAGUGACCCCAUGUAUAAAGACCCUAGAGCAGUGACCCCCAUGUAUAAAGGCCCUAGAGCAGUGACCCCAUGUAUAAAGACCCUAGAGCAGUGACCCCAGGUAUAAAGGCCCUAGAGCAGUGACCCCAUGUAUAAAGACCCUAGAGCAGUGACCCCAGGUAUAAAGGCCCUAGAGCAGUGACCCCAGGUAUAAAGGCCCUAGAGCAGUGACCCCAUGUAUAAAGACCCUAGAGCAGUGACCCCAGGUAUAAAGGCCCUAGAGCAGUGACCCCAUGUAUAAAGGCCCUAGAGCAGUGACCCCAGGUAUAAAGGCCCACAUUUCACGGGGUCACUUCAGUCCAAUCUUUUCUUCUUCUCUUCUAACUCAGGCACCGACGACCCUUUGAAAACAACCCACCAGUCGAGACUCUCUGCCCUAUCAGGACUGUCAACCUCAUCAUCAAGCGGCCAUCUUGGACGGGCUC